CGUUGUAUCCAAUGUUACCCUUUUUAACAAAACACAAAACAGUGAAGACCGAUUGAACUUCAAAUCUCUAUCAAAUUUUCCCCUGAUUCCGAAGCUCACUCUAUGGAUUUGACUCAGAAGCUACUAUAGAAGAUUGGUUCUUUGGAAUUGGGCUCAAGUUCUAAAGUAUUGGAGAAAAUCUUAGAUCGACCAAGUAAAUAUCAGAAUUCUGUGAAGGUAAUUCCAAUUCUUGGAGUUCCUUGUGAUGCUGUAACCGCUUUCAUACAAUUUCUUUAUUCAUCAAGAUGCACAGAAGAAGAAAUUGAUGGAUAUGGAAUUCAUCUACUAGCUUUGUCACAUGUUUUCUCUGUACAACAACUGAAACAGAGAUGUACAAAAGGAUUGUCAACAAGAUUAAUGGUAGAAAACGUUGUUGAUGUUCUUCAACUUGCUAGAUUAUGCGAUGCACCUGAUCUGUAUUUGAAAUGUAUGAGAUUCUUAUCGAAGGAAUUCAAAGCUGUUAAGAGAACUGAAGGGUGGAAAUUCUUAAGAGCCAAUGAUGCUGUUCUUGAACUCGAAAUCUUACAAUACCUCGACGAGAUCUUUCACAAAUUAUCUGUCCGACAAUUUUAGUCAUUUUAUUAUUACUUUCUAAAUUUGAAAUUUAAACAAAUUAAUUUACAGAGAGAUAAAAAGAGGAGUAGAAGUAAAGAAGAACGGGGUAUAUAUCUAGAGCUAAGCGAAGCGAUGGAAUGUCUUGAACAUAUUUGUACAGAAGGUUGUACAAACGUCGGACCAUAUGAUAGAGAGCCAACUAAGAAAACUGGACCAUGUGAAAAAUUCUCAACUUGCCAAGGUCUACAAGGUUUGAUCAAACAUUUUGCCAUGUGUGAGAAGAGAAUGAACGGUGGAUGUUGUAGGUGCAAGAGGAUGGGGCAACUUCUUAAACUUCAUGCUUCUAUUUGUGAUCAAGAUGAUCAUCGUUGCAAAGUCCCUUUGUGCAGUCGAUUCAAAUUGAAAAAUCAACUAGACAGAAAAUCAAAUGAUGGAAGAUGGAGACUACUAGUAAAAAGAGUGGCAUGUGCAAAAACUGUAUCUUCCUUGUCUUCACCGAAAAUGAUGAUGUUGAGAAGGAAAGAAGAAGACAGGUGUCAAAGGUGAUGAUGGUGGAACAUCGGAUUAGAAGCUUCAAACUCAUUUAUAUUCAACUAAUUGCAUCUUGAGGUAACAACACAUAACAAUCAUAGAAAUUUGAGGAGUGGUGAAACAACAUAAUUCCGGUCUAAAGACAUUUAUAUUCAACUAAUUGCAUGGUGGUAAUGAUCGUGAUUCGAAAGCGUUUGACCCUGCUAUAGAUAUACAAAUUGCUAAAAUAUUUAUUUUAUGAAUACUUGGUUCAUUGUUUUUCCCGCAAUUCAAGCGCAAGUACUCAGGUGAAAUAUUUGGAUGUCAUAUGUGGAUUUUGAGGACUUCAACACUGAUAAGUCCCGAAGGAUCAAAGAAUUUUCACCCCAGCGCGUGAUGUUGUACAAUCCCGUAGUCAUAUUGGUGUUUAUUUUUUGAGGGAGAGAUGUGCUGGACAGUUAUUUGGUCGAGUUGGAGAGCUACACAACCCUUCAUGAUUCGAUACUGUGUAUGGGUCGAAAUACGAAUCACUAAAGAGAAAAUGAUGGAUGUGGUAUGCGACUAAAUUCACCCCUUGUGACGAAGACCAAUACUAUCAAUGGUAUAAAUUCGUCACAAAGACGAUAAUUGAUAGAGAAGUAUUAAAAAUCUAUCGACUGGUUUUUGUUGUAUUAGGUAAAGUAUUACCUAAAUUGGAUGUUCCAACGCAUCCAGUGUGAUUCCAACUUUGACCAGUUAUCCUUCAACAUGUGCUUGUUCUUCAUCGACCCCUUCUAGAUGACGAACUAAAUCUUUUUCUUCAUCGAUUAAUUGGGUCUGAUUUGGCAGUUUUGAGUUGGGUGCUAGAGACUUAUAAUAUUGCUGGAGAGCGUCAGAUGCUUCCCAUCGUUUCGACCGCCCUAAUUCUUAUAGAGUCACAUCGACAAGUCAAGAAAAAUGGAUAGAACAGUUAAUUAAAUGGAGUUAAGAGAUAUUGAAACUAGAAGUACAUAGCUAUAAUAGAUGCACAUAGCGGGGGUGACCAUGAGCUUCAGUCUAUAAUUUUCACACCAUACAUCAAAUCCACAUUCUCAGAAAAUAGUAUUAGACUCACAAGUAUAUGUUAAAUCACAAUCUUCAUAUUGUCCAGUUGUUCCAAUACAACAAUCUCUAUAUUGUCAGGCCAGUCAACAACCUCCUCAAGCUUAUCAAGAUUAUAGGGGAUCAUUUAACUUCGAUGACACCCCAACAGAAGGUACAUAUCCAUGGAUUGAAAAUUAAAGUGGACGAUCUCAAACUGGUGAAGGGUUUCAAACUACAAGAUCAUAUCUGCAGGGAUUUGGGAGUUCAAUGCAGGGAUUGAGUAGUUAUAACUAUGUUUUAUUUUACAAUUCUAACUGAAACGAAGAUUAAGUUAUAAUUAGAUCUAACUAAUUAAAUGAAAUGAAACUAAAUUUUAUUUCACAUUCAGUUAAAA